rnacentral:rRNA from 1 species
GAGUCAUUGUAGAAUACAAGGCAUACGGCUCAGUAACGCGUACUCAAUCUAACCUAUGGACGGGAAUAACCUCGGGAAACUGAGAAUAAUGCCCGAUAGAACAUUAUGCCUGGAAUGGUUUAUGUUCCAAAUGAUUUAUCGCCGUAGGAUGGGACUGCGGCCUAUCAGUUUGUUGGUGAGGUAAUGGCCCACCAAGACUAUUACAGGUACGGGCUCUGAGAGGAGUAGCCCGGAGAUGGGUACUGAGACACGGACCCAGGCCCUAUGGGGCGCAGCAGGCGAGAAAACUUUGCAAUGUGCGAAAGCACGACAAGGUUAAUCCGAGUGGUUUCUGCUAAAGAAACCUUUUGUCAGUCCUAGAAACACUGAUGAAUAAGGGGUGGGCAAGUUCUGGUGUCAGCCGCCGCGGUAAAACCAGCACCUCAAGUGGUCAGGAUGAUUAUUGGGCCUAAAGCAUCCGUAGCCGGCUCUGUAAGUUUUCGGUUAAAUCUGUACGCUCAACGUACAGGCUGCCGGGAAUACUGCAGAGCUAGGGAGUGGGAGAGGUAGACGGUACUCGGUAGGAAGGGGUAAAAUCCUUUGAUCUAUUGAUGACCACCUGUGGCGAAGGCGGUCUACCAGAACACGUCCGACGGUGAGGGAUGAAAGCUGGGGGAGCAAACCGGAUUAGAUACCCGGGUAGUCCCAGCUGUAAACUAUGCAAACUCAGUGAUGCAUUGGCUUGUGGCCAAUGCAGUGCUGCAGGGAAGCC